rnacentral:rRNA from 1 species
CAGCAGCCGCGGGAAUACGUAGGGUGCAAGCGUUAAUCGGAAUUACUGGGCGUAAAGCGUGCGCAGGCGGUUCUAUAAGACAGAUGUGAAAUCCCCGGGCUCAACCUGGGAACUGCAUUUGUGACUGUAGAGCUGGAGUACGGCAGAGGGGGAUGGAAUUCCGCGUGUAGCAGUGAAAUGCGUAGAUAUGCGGAGGAACACCGAUGGCGAAGGCAAUCCCCUGGGCCUGUACUGACGCUCAUGCACGAAAGCGUGGGGAGCAAACAGGAUUAGAUACCCCCGUAGUCCCUGUCUCUUAUAC